GACGAACGCUGGCGGCGUGCUUAACACAUGCAAGUCGAACGGAAAGGCCCUGCUUUUGUGGGGUGCUCGAGUGGCGAACGGGUGAGUAACACGUGAGUAACCUGCCCUUGACUUUGGGAUAACUUCAGGAAACUGGGGCUAAUACCGGAUAGGAGCUCCUGCUGCAUGGUGGGGGUUGGAAAGUUUCGGCGGUGGGGGAUGGACUCGCGGCUUAUCAGCUUGUUGGUGGGGUAGUGGCUUACCAAGGCCUUGACGGGUAGCCGGCCUGAGAGGGUGACCGGCCACAUUGGGACUGAGAUACGGCCCAGACUCCUACGGGAGGCAGCAGUGGGGAAUAUUGCACAAUGGGCGGAAGCCUGAUGCAGCAACGCCGCGUGCGGGAUGACGGCCUUCGGGUUGUAAACCGCUUUCGCCUGUGACGAAGCGUGAGUGACGGUAAUGGGUAAAGAAGCACCGGCUAACUACGUG
rnacentral:rRNA from 1 species